CUAUCUCAUGUUCAUACAAAUUGCCAAAAAAAUUAAAAAAUACAAAAGAAAGAAACUUCAUGAUUCAUAUAUAGCCAUUUACAUAGAAAAUGCUCUUACGGUAUUCUCCAUCUUUACCUUCGGAAAGUCCUAAGACUUAGCUUCAGUAAGUGAAUCAGUUAAGAGUUGCUUAUGGGAUAAUUAUAAUCAUGUGGACCUGGGAGUAUUCAUGAAUUGUGUUAUUUGAUAAUCACAUGAAUGAGGAGUUCUUAUAUGAGGUCAAGUUUCAGCAAAUUUAGCUUCAUUAAUAUUUUUCCCAAAGGUUAGAUGAAUGUACUUGCCUUGCUCUUUGCUCCAGCUCCCACAACGCUUCCCCCGUACUCAUGUUAAAUGCCCCGAGAAAGCAGAUUAAAUGUGC
rnacentral:lncRNA from 1 species